UCCGUGGCGACGCUACAGAGGAGAGACAUAGUACAUCACACCAAUCGGCAACACCCAUGUUCCACGGGUUAAAGAACCAUGUAUAUUGGAGUGCAACCUAUUCAACCUCAGGGCCUGAGAAGGUGGCCAACAACAUUCAAAACAUCCAUGGGCAUGAAGAUCCCCUCUUCCCCAAACACAAAGAAGGGUGAAGCCACCACAAAGCCUGUUAAAACAGAACCCACAUUCAACGUAUCGAUUAUAGCUGCAUUUACAGUGGUGCUGUUUGCUCGAGGGAAAAGUUUCGUCUGGGACUGGUGCAUCUGGCAAGAACUUGAAUUUGUUCCUCCGCUGACCAUAACCGAGAAGCUGCACCAAGAAGUAUGGUGAAGAUUACAC